UACAGAGGUGGCAAGCGUUGUUCGGAAUUACUGGGCGUAAAGGGCGCGUAGGCGGCCCACUAAGUCAGACGUGAAAUCCCCCGGCUUAACCUGGGAACUGCGUCUGAUACUGGAGGGCUUGAGUAUGGGAGAGGGAUGUAGAAUUCCAGGUGUAGCGGUGAAAUGCGUAGAUAUCUGGAGGAACACCGGUGGCGAAGGCGGCGUCCUGGACCACUACUGACACUGAAACGCGAAAGCCAGGGGAGCAAACGGG
rnacentral:rRNA from 1 species